GGAUCUGCAAUCAACACUCCUACCAGCCAACAUCCAAUCACAACUGCCUACAAGAGCCCUGCACUGACAUCCAGUCUGUGCCAGAUCGUUGUGCCUACAGGACCCAUCUGCAUCCAGCUCUGCCACCUUCCUCACUCACCUGCCUGUUCAUCACCAUCUGGAUCCCUCCCUCAGCAUCCCAGGACCUCCACCAGCUACCCCUUCACCCUACACUUCUGUAAAAACACUUUGGGAAACAAGACCUGUCUAAAGUCUGCUUUUUGAGUUCAGCUGUAAUACGUGACAAUAAAACUGUGAGCUGGUAGAAGAGGAGACAUUAAGCAUGUUGUGACAGUAAAUACAAUAAGUAAAUAAGUGUUUUAAGUUUCUGAUGAAGUCAGAGCAACAGAACAGUUUUAAUAAUUGGUUGCAUUUGGUAAAAGUAAAUUAUUAGAGUGGUUCUCUAAGUGGCCUAAAUCAUCACUAGACAAUUUAAAGCUCCUGCAAAUAGUUUUUAUCUGCUUAUACAACAAACUGAAAUUGGUAUUGAUGUCUCUUUAUUACUCCAAAAAAAUAAACAAGACUAUCAACACA